rnacentral:rRNA from 1 species
CCUACGGGAGGCAGCAGUGAGGAAUAUUGGUCAAUGGCCGUAAGGCUGAACCAGCCACGUCGCGUGCAGGAAGAAGGAUCUAUGGUUUGUAAACUUCUUUUAUAGGGGAGUAAAGUUAUCCACGUGUGUGUUUUUGCAUGUACCCUAUGUAUAAGCAUCGGCUAACUCCGUGCCAGCAGCAGCGGUACUACGGAGGAUGCGACCGUUAUCCGGAUUUAUUGGGUUUAAAGGGUGCGUAGGUUGGUUUUUAAGUCAGCGGUGAAAGUUUGUGGCUUAACCAUAACAUUGCCGUUGAUACUGGAAGACUGGAGUGUGAUAGAGGUAGGCGGAAUGCGUGGUGUAGCGGUGAAAUGCAUAGAUAUCACGAAGAACACCGAUUGCGAAGGCAGCUUACUAAGCUGCCACUGACAUUGAUGCUCGAAAGUGUGGGUAUCAAACAGGAUUAGAUACCCUUGUAGUC